rnacentral:rRNA from 1 species
CAGUCGCCGCGGUAAUACGUAGGGUGCGAGCGUUAAUCGGAAUUACUGGGCGUAAAGCGUGCGCAGGCGGUUGUGUAAGACAGGUGUGAAAUCCCCGGGCUUAACCUGGGAACUGCGCUUGUGACUGCACGGCUAGAGUAUGGCAGAGGGGGGUGGAAUUCCACGUGUAGCAGUGAAAUGCGUAGAGAUGUGGAGGAACACCGAUGGCGAAGGCAGCCCCCUGGGCCAAUACUGACGCUCAUGCACGAAAGCGUGGGGAGCAAACAGGAUUAGAUACCCGCGUAGUCCCUGUCUCUUAUAC